GCAACACAAAGCUAAGACAGGCUACUUACAUCUCACAGCUCCACUAUCUCCUGGGAACUUGGAGUCCUCAGGUUCUAGCUGUGGAAAGAGAAAAAAAAGAUGGAGAAGGCACACAUGCUUCUUAAUCAUAGCGGUUCAGAGGUAACGAAUAUUAAUUUUGUAUAUUCUACUGGCCCAACCCAGAGGCACCAGUGUGCUGGGAAUGGAGUCUCUGAUUGGGCAGCAAAGAUCAGAGAUCAAAGAUCAGGAGAGAUUUCAGGACGAAUAUUUUACUAGGUGAGGAGGACCAUGGAUUUUGACAAACAGCCUUUGCUGCUCUACCCAUGCCUCAUCGCCACUGUUAGACACAAACAGAAAUGGCAGCACUUUUUGUUCAUUGAUUGCAACUCUUUCUUUAAAGACUUUUAAGGCAGAAUCCUAAGUCAUCUCUUCUGUGAAAUUUUCACGAUUCAAAGGGAAGUCCCUGCAUGGGCACUGCCAGCUUCGUUGCGCUUCUGCCUCCAUGCUUUCUCCUGAACCUCCUCCACCUCUGAACGUACUUCAGGCUGCACAGGAAGUAUGGCUGCAGAGGUCUCAGGAAACCGACAAUUACCAGUGGAAGGUGAAGAGGAAGGAGGUACAUCUUACAUGGCCAGAGAAGGAGGAAGAGAAAGAAGGAGGAGGUCCCAUACCCUUCUAAACGACUACAUGACUGAGAACUCACUGUCAUGAGAGUAACAAGGGGAAAAUCUGCCCCCAGGAGCCAAUCACCUCCCACAAGUCCCCUCCGACAACAAUGGGGAUUACAAUUUACCAUGAGAUUUGCUUUGGGACACAGAGCUAAACCAUGUGAGUAGGUGACUAGUUAGUAGGUUUUUUUUUUUACACAAAAGCUAGUGUUGACAUAAAUUAUCGUAGCGUCAAAGAUACUUAGAGAUAAACCUAU